GAUGAACGCUAGCUACAGGCUUAACACAUGCAAGUCGAGGGGUAACGAGAGGAAAGCUUGCUCUCCUUGUCGACGACCGGCGCACGGGUGAGUAACGCGUAUCCAACCUGCCCCCAACUAAGGAAUAACCUUGCGAAAGUAAGACUAAUACCUUAUAAUUUCCUCAGAUGUCAUCUGACGAGGAAUAAUGAUUUAUCGGUUGUGGAUGGGGAUGCGUCUGAUUAGCUUGUUGGCGGGGUAACGGCCCACCAAGGCAACGAUCAGUAGGGGUUCUGAGAGGAAGGUCCCCCACAUUGGAACUGAGACACGGUCCAAACUCCUACGGGAGGCAGCAGUGAAGAAUAUUGGUCAAUGGGCGGAAGCCUGAACCAGCCAAGUAGCGUGCAGGAUGACGGCCCUAUGGGUUGUAAACUGCUUUUAUACAGGAAUAAAGUUAGCCACGUGUGGUUAUUUGUAGGUACUGUAUGAAUAAGGACCGGCUAAUUCCGUGCCAGCAGCCGCGGUAACAC
rnacentral:rRNA from 1 species